GGCAGCAGCUAAGAAUAUUCCGCAAUGGGGGGAACCCUGACGGAGCGACGCCGCGUGAACGAUGAAGGCAGAGAUGUUGUAAAGUUCUUUUAUCGCUGAAGAAUAACCGGAUCAGGGAAUGGGUCCGGGAUGACGUUAAGCGAUGAAUAAGCCACGGCUAACUACGUGCCAGCAGCCGCGGUAACACGUAGGUGGCGAGCGUUGUUCGGAUUUAUUGGGCGUAAAGGGCGCGUAGGCGGAGGCUCAAGCUUGGUGUAAAAUACCCCGGCUCAACUGGGGAGAUGCGCUGAGAACUGAGCCACUAGAGUCCAGGAGGGGGAGUCGGAAUUCCAGGUGUAGGGGUGAAAUCUGUAGAUAUCUGGAAGAACACCGGUGGCGAAGGUGGGCUCCUGGCCAUGGACUGACGCUGAGGCGCGAAAGUGUGGGGAGCGAACAGGAUUAGAUACCCUGGUAGUCCACACCGUAAACGAUGUACACUAGGUGUCCGGGAGAAAUCCUGGGUACCGGAGCCAACGCAUUAAGUGUACCGCCUGGGGAGUAUGCCCGCAAGGGUGAAACUCAAAGGAAUUGACGG
rnacentral:rRNA from 1 species